rnacentral:rRNA from 1 species
CAACGACUCUCGGCAACGGAUAUCUCGGCUCUCGCAUCGAUGAAGAGCGUAGCGAAAUGCGAUACUUGGUGUGAAUUGCAGAAUCCCGUGAACCAUCGAGUCUUUGAACGCAAGUUGCGCCCAAAGCCGUCAGGCCGAGGGCACGUCUGCCUGGGCGUCACGC